rnacentral:rRNA from 1 species
GAUGAACGCUAGCUACAGGCUUAACACAUGCAAGUCGAGGGACCGGCGCACGUGUUAUUAACACGUAUCCACCCUGCCCUUUACUCGGGGAUAGCCUUUCGCAAGAAAGACUAUUACCCGAUAUAACGGAUGUUGUUUCGUUGCAUUAGUUUGUUGGUGAGGUAACGGCCCACCAAGCCUUCGAUGGUUAGGGGUUCUGAUAGGAAGUGCCCCGACUUGGGAAAUGAGAAACGGUCCAAAAUCUUACGGGAGGCAGAAGUGAGGAAUAUUGGUAAAUGGGCGUUAGCCUGAACCAGCCAAGUAGCGUGAAGGAUGAAGGCUUAUGGGUCGUAAACUUCUUUUAUAUAAGAAUAUGUAUUAUAUGAAUAAGGAUAGGCUAACUCCGUGCCAGCAGCCGCGGUAAUAC